GGAUGCUGUGGGGCAGGCCGGGUUUUGUCUGCAUGUCCUCUCCCUGAGAGUGCCAAGGGAGACGAGAGCUGGCAGCACAGUUUCUUUCCUGUCCUCAGUGCUGAUGCGAUUUUCUAAAACGGACCUUGUUCCCACAGCUCUCUGAUGACACCAGGCAGCACAGCGAGGCUGAUAGCACAGAGCUGACCCGCUGCAUCCUGCUGCAGGCCCGGAUCUGCCCAGAGGAAGCAGUCCUGUUUCUGCGGUUGCAGCUGGGCAAUGAGAGGGAGGCUGGACGCGUGGCAGCCCUGGGUCUGCUCAGUGCUCUAGCUUGCUCUGGUGAGCCUGUGAUGACGGAGAAGCUGCCCCAGGUCGCAGAGGCUUUGCAGUGCGUGUGCAGCGACCCCAGGAUCCAGGUGAGCUGCUUUGGGAAAAGAAAGCUCUGUCGGAGUGGUGACGGGCAGGGCUGGGGUGACUAGACAG